rnacentral:rRNA from 1 species
GGCCAAGCUACUAAGGGCACACGGUGGAUGCCUAGGCGCCAAGGGCCGAUGAAGGGCGUGGCUGGCUGCGAUAAGCCCCGGGGAGCCGCCAGCAGGCUGUGAUCCGGGGAUUCCCGAAUGGGGAAACCCACCUGGGGGAAUGCCCAGGUAUCGUUGGCUGAAUCCAUAGGCCGACGAAGGGCACCGGCCGAACUGAAACAUCUUAGUAGGCCGAGGAAAAGAAAUCAACCGAGAUUCCCCGAGUAGUGGCGAGCGAAAGGGGAAGAGCCCAAACCCAUGGUGUGUUAGAGGCCGCAGCCGUUGCACCAUGGGGGUUGUAGGCCAGCAGCAGGAGCCGCUGCGGAGGCUCCAGGAAGUUAUAAAUCUUCUCCUUAGCGGAAGCGUCCUGGAACGGCGCGCCAAAGAGGGUGAAAGCCCCGUACGCGAAAAGGAGAAGACUUCCGGGCUGCUGAGCCUGAGUACCCCGGGACACGUGGAACCCUGGGGGAAGCAGGGGGGACCACCCUCCAAGGCUAAAUACCCUUGGCGACCGAUAGUGCACAAGUACCGUGAGGGAAAGGUGAAAAGAACCCCGGUGAGGGGAGUGAAAUAGAACCUGAAACCGUGUGCCUACAAGCAGUCGGAGGGCUAUGGCGGGGAAACCCGCAAGGCCUGACGGCGUGCCUCUUGGAGUAUGAGCCGGGGAGUUACUCUCGGUGGCGAGGUUAAGGCAGUUACAGCCGGAGCCGUAGCGAAAGCGAGUCUUAAAAGGGCGCUUAGUCGCCGGGAGUAGACCCGAAACCGGGUGAGCUACCCAUGGCCAGGGUGAAGCGGGGGUAAAACCCCGUGGAGGCCCGAACGGGUUGGUGAUGCAAAACCAUCCGAUGAGCUGUGGGUAGGGGUGAUAUGCCAACCGAACCCGGAGAUAGCUGGUUCUCCCCGAAAUAGCUUUAGGGCUAGCGUCCCGCGUUGAGUGCCGGAGGUAGAGCACUGGAUGGGCUAGGGGGCGUUGAGCUUACCAAACCCAACCAAACUCCGAAUGCCGGCACUUGAAAGCGGGGCAGUCGGACUACGAGAGAUAACUUCCGUAGUCGAGAGGGGAACAACCCAGACCGCCGGCUAAGGUCCCCAAGUCCAGGCUAAGUGGUGAAGGAGGUGGGACCGCCCAGACAGCCAGGAGGUUGGCUUAGAAGCAGCCAUCCUUUAAAGAGUGCGUAACAGCUCACUGGUUUAGCGGUCCUGCGCCGAAAAUGUAACGGGGCUUAAGCCUGGCACCGAAGCCGCGGGGCGCUACUAAGGGUAGCGCCGGUAGGGGAGCGUUCCCUGCGCGUUGAAGCCCUACCGAAAGGAGGGGUGGAGUGCAGGGAAGUGAGAAUCCCGGCAUGAGUAGCGGUAAGGGGUGUGAAAACCACCCCCGCCGUAAGCCUAAGGUUUCCUUCCCAAUGUCAAUCAGGGAAGGGUUAGGCGGGAGCUAAGGCGAGGCCGAAAGGCGUAGCUGAUGCACAGCCGGUCAACAUUCCGGCCCCACCUGGGGGGAGCGAUGGGGGGACGCAGGAGGGUAGGCCAGCCGGUGAUUGGUAGCGCCGGUUCCAAGCCAGUAGGGCGAUGAAGGAGGGAGGAAAAUCCCCCUCCAGAGCCCGAGAGGUGAUGGCGUAAGUGGCUGAGCCCACACUGCCAAGAAAAGCCUCUAAGCGUUGAACCCCAGGUGCCCGUACCGCAAACCGCCACUGGUAGGCUGGGUGAACAUCCCAAGGCGCUCGGGAGAACCCUCGUCAAGGAACUCGGCAAAUUGGCUCCGUAACUUCGGGAGAAGGAGUGCCCCACGUAGGGUGUAGGAGCUCGCCUCCGAAGCCCGAAGGGGUCGCAGUGAAUUGGCCCUGCCGACUGGUUAACAAAACCACAGGUCUCUGCUAACUCGAAAGAGGAAGUAUAGGGGCCGACGCCUGCCCAGUGCCGGAAGGUUAAGGGGAAGGGUUAGCCGGCUUCGGCCGGCGAAGCUCUGAACUGAAGCCCCGGUGAACGGCGGCCGUAACUAUAACUCGGACCGUUGUAGUUACGUAAAUAAACCCGGCUAUAUGCUGGAAAGUCCGUCCCCUAAAAGGGGUGUAGUAUCCGGCGGUACUUGGUGACAAGCAGUCACUAAGUGACAAUCCGCCCGGUGCGGGCAACCAGCAGGAAAGGCCCCCUGGAGGAAAAUAUGCCACUGGAUGUAGAACAAAUCCCUCCCUAUAUAGGCUAUUACCUGGCAGGAUUUGCCGAUGGGGAAGGCAGUUUCAACGUAUCUUUCCGGCGUCGCCCUGAUUAUAAAAUGCCCUGGAAAAUCUCCCUGUGCUUCAAUGUGUCUAACCGGGAUAAAGUCAUCCUGAACCUCUUCAAAAAGUACAUAAAGUGCGGAACCCUUAGGCAAAGGAAAGACGGGGUUUGGUACUACGAGGUCAAUAGCUUAAAGGCCAUAGUGGAGAAUGUAAUCCCGUUCUUUGAGCGGUUUUGCUUCCUAUCAGCCAGCAAGAAGGAUAGCUUCGCUAAGUUUAAGAAGAUAGCGGAAAUAAUUCAAGAGGGUCGCCAUACUACAGAAGAAGGUAUCCAGGAAAUCCUUUGCCUAAGGAAAGACAUGAACAGGGGCGGCGCAGGAAAACGUAAGUAUAGCGACGAAGAAAUCUUAAAAGAAUUCCUCCGGGGGGAAUCCUCAGAGACCAUACGCCGGGCAUCCAUGGAGCAAUAAAAAGGCGCCGCCAGCUCCAGGGGAUGAAGAUAUGGUCCGGUCUCCGUGGCGACACGGAGGGCCUGGAAGCUUCCCAGGCCGCACCAACUAAGGCGCAAAGGCCCGUAGUUGGUGUAACAUAGACAAACGGUCCUAAGGUGGCAAACGCUGCCUGCCCCGACGGUAACGUCGGGGGCAAUACCUGGCUAUAUGCGGGAACACCCUUAGAGCCCGCCCUACCAGGGAAGAGCACACCUUCCCGGUAAAAAUGGGCGGGAUUGGGCAACCCGCAGGAAACCCGUUAAGGGGAUCCUCAGAGACUAUACGCCAGGCGUCCAACCGAAGCGGAGGAGGCCAGAAUGGACCUAAGCCCCGAUUGGGUAGUUGGGUUCGUAGACGGGGAAGGAUGCUUCUACGUAGGCAUCAACCCCCACCCCAAGAUGACUUUAGGAUACCAAGUGUUGCCCGAGUUCCGUGUGGUUCAACACGAACGCGACAUCCAAGUCCUCUAUGCCCUGAAGCGGUUCUUCCGAUGCGGUGUCGUACGCCGCAACGGCGAGAACCGUUACGAGUUGAGGAUUCGCAAGCUAUCUUGCUUGCAAAAGGUUGUGGAGUUCUUUGAGCGCCACCCUCUAAAGACCAAGAAGAACGUGGAUUUUAAGAAGUUUGCCCGGAUAGUGAAAUGGGUAAGCGAAGGCAGGCACCUUAAACCUGAGGGGCUAAUAGAGAUUGUGGAGGUGGCGCUCUCAAUGGACCGCACGAACAAGGUCAAGACCAAGAAGAUUCUGGCCGACCUCCAGCAGAGGUAUGGACGAAGAGAUAGUCCACCCCAGGCAGAAAUGUCUGGAGUAAGGUGAGCGAAAUUCCUUGACGGGUAAGUUCCGUCCCGCACGAAAGGCGUAACGAGUGGGGCACUGUCUCGACGAGGGACCCGGCGAAAUUGAACUGGCCGUGAAGAUGCGGCCUACCCGCAGCAGGACAAAAAGACCCCGUGGAGCUUUACUGCAACUUGGCAUUGAGUUAGGGCUUAGCCUGUGUAGGAUAGGUGGGAGGCUGAGAAGUCUGGGCGCCAGCCUGGAUGGAGCCACCCUUGAAAUACCACCCUGGUUAAGUCUUGACCCUAACCCCUACCCGUGAAACCGGGAGGGGGACAGUGCCAGGUGGGCAGUUUGGCUGGGGCGGCCGCCUCCUAAAAGGUAACGGAGGCGCCCAAAGGUCCCCUCAGGCGGAAUGGAAACCCGCCGUUGAGUGCAAAGGCAUAAGGGGGCUUGACUGCGAGGCUUACAAGCCGAGCAGGGGCGAAAGCCGGGCUUAGUGAUCCCACGGUACCGAGUGGAAGGGCCGUGGCUUAACGGAUAAAAGCUACCCCGGGGAUAACAGGCUAGUCUGGCCCAAGAGUUCACAUCGACGGCCAGGCUCGGCACCUCGAUGUCGGCUCGUCCCAUCCUGGGGCUGGAGCAGGUCCCAAGGGUUGGGCUGUUCGCCCAUUAAAGGGGCACGUGAGCUGGGUUCAGACCGUCUGGGAAGGCGGCCCCGAAAGGGUAACCUUCGGGGAAAAACCGGCUCAUAACGGGGAAGCCCUCCAGGUCUACCGACCGGAUGCUGAGGGUAACCCCGUGGGAAGGCGGAAGCUAUGGAUGACACUAUACGCGCCUGUAGCGCGUAAGGUGGAGUCCUACCAGGCCCUAAACUACUCUAAGAAGUGCCGUUAUAGAGCAGAGGAUGUGAGGCGCUUCCUGAGUAGCAAGGGCUGGCUUCUGCCCCCGUAACGACUGAGGCCUGCGGGCCGAGGCUCGGGUUCAAAAGCCAACUUAUGACCCGGGCAAGACGCCGGCAUCCCCGAAAGGGGAUGGUGGUAUAGUCUACCCCUCAGGGAAACCUGAGGAAAUGGUGCGUGAGACAGGUCGGUCUCUAUCCGCUGCGGGCGCAGGGGGCUUGAGGGGAGCUGCCCCUAGUACGAGAGGACCGGGGUGGACGGACCUCUGGUGUACCAGUUGUUCCGCCAGGAGCACCGCUGGGUAGCCAUGUCCGGCAGGGAUAACCGCUGAAAGCAUCUAAGCGGGAAGCCCGCCCCAAGAUGAGGCCCCCCACCGGCUUAGCCGGGUAAGGCCCCUGGGAGACUACCAGGUUGAUAGGCCGCAGGUGGAAGCCCGGCAACGGGUGAAGCCAAGCGGUACUAAUGGCCGAGGGCUUGUCCCUCUUU